rnacentral:rRNA from 1 species
UACGGUAGGGUGCGAGCGUUGUCCGGAAUUAUUGGGCGUAAAGAGCUCGUAGGCGGUGUGUCACGUCGUUCGUGAAAACCUGCAGCUUAACUGUGGGCGUGCGGUCGAGUACGGGCAUCACUGGAGUUCGGCAGGGGAGACUGGAAUUCCUGGUGUAGCGGUGAAAUGCGCAGAUAUCAGGAGGAACACCGAUGGCGAAGGCAG